GUCCCUAUAGCACAAUGGAUAGUGUGUAAGCCUCCGGAGCCUAAGAUGUAGGUUCGAUUCCUACUAGGGACG
rnacentral:tRNA from 1 species